rnacentral:rRNA from 1 species
UACGUAGGGUCCGAGCGUUUGUCCGGAAUUAUUGGGCGCAAAGAGCUCGUAGGCGGUCUGUCGCGUCGGCUGUGAAAACCUGGGGCUCAACUCCAGGCCUGCAGUCGAUACGGGCAGACUAGAGUUCGGUAGGGGAGACUGGAAUUCCUGGUGUAGCGGUGAAAUGCGCAGAUAUCAGGAGGAACACCGGUGGCGAAGGCGGGUCUCUGGGCAUGAUCUGACGCUGAGGAGCGAGAGUGUGGGGAGCGAACAGG